rnacentral:rRNA from 1 species
GACGAACGCUGCGGCGUGCCUAAUACAUGCAAGUUGAGCGCUGAAGGUUGGUACUUGUACCAACUGGAUGAGCAGCGAACGGGUGAGUAACGCGUGGGGAAUCUGCCUUUGAGCGGGGGACAACAUUUGGAAACGAAUGCUAAUACCGCAUAAAAACUUUAAACACAAGUUUUAAGUUUGAAAGAUGCAAUUGCAUCACUCAAAGAUGAUCCCGCGUUGUAUUAGCUAGUUGGUGAGGUAAAGGCUCACCAAGGCGAUGAUACAUAGCCGACCUGAGAGGGUGAUCGGCCACAUUGGGACUGAGACACGGCCCAAACUCCUACGGGAGGCAGCAGUAGGGAAUCUUCGGCAAUGGACGAAAGUCUGACCGAGCAACGCCGCGUGAGUGAAGAAGGUUUUCGGAUCGUAAAACUCUGUUGGUAGAGAAGAACGUUGGUGAGAGUGGAAAGCUCAUCAAGUGACGGUAACUACCCAGAAAGGGACGGCUAACUACGUG